rnacentral:rRNA from 1 species
UACGGAGGGUGCAGGCGUUAUCCGGAUUCACUGGGUUUAAAGGGUGCGUAGGUGGGCAAGUAAGUCAGUGGUGAAAUCUCCGGGCUUAACCCGGAAACUGCCAUUGAUACUAUUUGUCUUGAAUACUGUGGAGGUCAGCGGAAUAUGUCAUGUAGCGGUGAAAUGCUUAGAUAUGACAUAGAACACCAAUUGCGAAGGCAGCUGGCUACACAAAUAUUGACACUGAGGCACGAAAGCGUGGGGAUCAAACAGG